GUAUCCCCGCAGGCUGGCUGUACCCGGUUUGGAGGCAAACCGGAUGUGACGUGUGCCAGUGGCGUACUCCCUGCCCCCAGAUAGGUACUUGUACGCCUAGGGAAAGACGCUGCUAGGUGCUGCUGCUAAAUCCCUGUGGUUUCUGCCAGCCACAUGCGGCCAUUGCCGGCUCACGUAGGUUCGUUCGCGUGGUCUUAUUACGCCUAGCUGGAUCGUGUUGUCAUGCCGUCCUUGCGCGGCGUGAUUGUCGGUGAGUCAGGUUAAAUUCUUAAAUAGGUCGCGCCUGCGCCUAAUUGAGUCUAUAAAAGCCUGCACAUUCAGUUUUGCUAGCUACAAUGCAGUGCGGCUGGCGUGAGCUGUCUCCACGAUGCGCUUCGAGCGUGUCGAUUUCGCCGUUCUUUAUGUUGGCGUUAACGACCUUGAAAGCAACAUGGAUCCACAAGAAAUGUGCGACAACAUCAAGGCCUUGAUUGUUCAACGAGACGGCCCCCGUCGUGCUGGUUUUCAAGGUGCUCCCUCGCUGCCUAGAAGAUGCUGAUGCGGAUAGAAAAUGCAAAAACGUCGCUUGCUCAACCGCAAAUUGACGGCUACGCUGAAGCGCAUGCCGUGUCUGCGGAAUUUGAACCCCGAGGUAUGGACCCCCUUUUUCCAGCGGCAUGCCGUUACAUACCGUCAGGAACACGCUUGGCUUAUUUCUGACUCGGUAAAAAAUGUUUCACUUUUUCUCGCUUCUCGCUGCGGAAGAAAUGCGGACCGUUUGUCGUAGUUGUGUCUCCAUUACAGGGUGGCAUUACUGCGGUGAAUAAAGCAAGUGUUGCCGUA